AUUGAAUUACUUCUCACUUAUCUCCAGGGCAGAGGAGAGGAAGCCAGGAUGCAUUGUGGUAAAAGGUAUGUGUAUUGGGUUACCUCUCAGGAUAAGGGGGGGGGAAUCUGUGGGUUGUAACUAAUAUGUUACUGGAUAUUUUAUACCUCCCUGUGGGCGGUCCUGUAUUUGCAAGACUGUAAUAAAAACCAGGCUGGGUGUGCCAGCACCUC